rnacentral:rRNA from 1 species
AACGGCUAUACCAUGCUGAAUAUACCGGUUCUCGUUAGAUCACCGAAGUCAAGCAUCAUUGGGCGUGGUCAGUACUUGGGUGGGUGACCACCUGGGAACACCGCGUGCCGUU